rnacentral:ribozyme from 1 species
GACGUCGACGGCCACGUCGCUCGGUGGGCUGGGUUUGGGUGGUUUCAUGGCCACCAAGAGCAAGCUAGGAGCACAGAUCUCGAAUGCUCUG